AACAGGAUUAGAUACCCUGGUAGUCCACGCCGUAAACGAUGUCGACUUGGAGGUUGUGCCCUUGAGGCGUGGCUUCCGGAGCUAACGCGUUAAGUCGACCGCCUGGGGAGUACGGCCGCAAGGUUAAAACUCAAAUGAAUUGACGGGGGCCCGCACAAGCGGUGGAGCAUGUGGUUUAAUUCGAUGCAACGCGAAGAACCUCACCUGGUCUUGACAUCCACGGAAGUUUUCAGAGAUGAGAGUGUGCCUUCGGGAACCGUGAGACAGGUGCUGCAUGGCUGUCGUCAGCUCGUGUUGUGAAAUGUUGGGUUAAGUCCCGCAACGAGCGCAACCCUUAUCCUUUGUUGCCAGCGGUCCGGCCGGGAACUCAAAGGAGACUGUUAGUGAUAAACUGGAGGAAGGUGGGGAUGACGUCAAGUCAUCAUGGCCCUUACGACCAGGGCUACACACGUGCUACAAUGGCGCAUACAAAGAGAAGCGACCUCGCGAGAGCAAGCGGACCUCAUAAAGUGCGUCGUAGUCCGGAUUGGAGUCUGCAACUCGACUCCAUGAAGUCGGAAUCGCUAGUAAUCGUGGAUCAGAAUGCCACGGUGAAUACGUUCCCGGGCCUUGUACACACCGCCCGUCACACCAUGGGAGUGGGUUGCAAAAGAAGUAGGUAGCUUAACCUUCGGGAGGGCGCUUACCACUUUGUGAUUCAUGACUGGGGUGAAGUCGUAACAAGGUAACC
rnacentral:rRNA from 1 species